rnacentral:lncRNA from 1 species
UCCCUCAGGGGCACUAGCGUCUGCCGCACGGAUGCCGCCAUUCUGGAGGACCUCGAGCAGGGCGAGCAGUACUACAAGGAGCUGGUGGGCCGGUCCGCGCACGCCGAGGCUUCGACGAUGGCCGGAAAGCGUGACGACGACGUCACCAGGGGCGUGGUGGCCGACUACUCCCUACCACCUAACCUGGCGAUGAUUGGAGAAGACGGAGACGUCACCGACAGCGAGGUCAAGUCUGUGCAGACUGAGCCCAACCACUCGUACAAGGUCGAGGUUGUGACCCAGACGUGCCCGGUGAUCCAGCACACACUCACGGUGACCAGCAC